UACGGAGGGGGCUAGCGUUGUUCGGAAUUACUGGGCGUAAAGCGCACGUAGGCGGAUAGUUAAGUUGGGGGUGAAAUCCCGGGGCUCAACCCCGGAACUGCCUUCGAUACUGGCUGUCUGGAGGUCGAGAGAGGUGAGUGGAAUUCCGAGUGUAGAGGUGAAAUUCGUAGAUAUUCGGAGGAACACCAGUGGCGAAGGCGGCUCACUGGCUCGAUACUGACGCUGAGGUGCGAAAGCGUGGGGAGCAAACAGG
rnacentral:rRNA from 1 species